GCGGCUGUGGCGGAAUUGGCAGACGCGCUAGAUUCAGGUUCUAGUGAAGGUUGCUUCGUGGGGGUUCAAGUCCCUUCAGCCGCACCA
rnacentral:tRNA from 1 species